rnacentral:snRNA from 1 species
GUACAUGAGGGUGAUCUGGCUGCAACAUCUGUCACCCCACUGAGCUCCAGGGUUGACCCGGCUGAUCUGGCUGGCUGGCAGGUGUCCCCCUCCUCCCUCAUGCUGCAAGUACAUCCCUCCAGAAGGAAGAGGAUGGCUUUCCCUGAAUAGAGACAGACCUGGUCUUUGGUUGAGGGUAUCCAAGUAGAGUAGCUGCACUCCCUUGCUAGAACCUCCAACCAGGCUCUCAGAAUAUAUUAAGGAAAGUAUUCAUUUAAGAAUUCACUUACAACAAU